CUCACGUGUUUCAAACAGAGCUUCUACGUUUGCCGGUCGUUAUGCGUUGGUUUGUAUUUCACUUAAGAAAGGUUUGCCCUGGAAUGAAAGCUGUGGCUGCAGACCGGCAGAGGGUGAACCGUCUGCUUCGGAGAGUGUGGUGACAGCAGAAGAGAAAGAACAGUGAAAGCAAAGGCCUUGCCAAAGAGCAAUUACUGAAAACAAACAAGCGCAGUACAAGAUUUUUCAGCUGUCAAUUUCCAUUAAAGCUCACCCCUGUGUUAUCA